rnacentral:rRNA from 1 species
CAGUGAUGCAGAGCAAAUCCCCAAAAGCAGUCUUAGUUCGGAUUGUAGGCUGCAACUCGCCUACAUGAAGUCGGAAUUGCUAGUAAUCGCGGAUCAGCAUGCCGCGGUGAAUACGUUCCCGGGCCUUGUACACACCGCCCGUCACACCAUGGGAGUCGGUAACACCCGAAGCCUGUAGUCUAACCGCAAGGAGGACGCAGUCGAAGGUGGGAUUGAUGACUGGGGUAAAGUCGUAACAAGGUAUC